rnacentral:lncRNA from 1 species
CCCUGUCUCCAGUGGGCGUCUUGGGCCCCGGCUCUAUUCUGGGCUGCGGGCCUGGGAAGGGCUCGCCGGGUGCCAAAUGAGCUGUCCUAACUCUGCGGGGCUGCAGCUUCCUGCAUGAUGCUGGGGAGCUUGGCGCCUGACCCAGGAUCUAGAAGGCACUCUGGGCAGGCCGCGCUCCGCCCACGAAGGUACCCAACCCUCUGGGAUAGAUGCAGGAAGCGAUGGUUAAGACCCAUUUUCACCCAACUUCUCGCCGCAGGUCUGGCUUACCACACGCUCCUCCCCAUUCCCAGUGAGCCGCUUUUUGCAGCACCAGGCGAACACUUACACCAGUGCUUUGUAAAGGAAUCUUAUUGUCCACCCCGUGUCUUGGCAAAAGAACAGUGAUCACACAGAUUCCUACUUGGGCUCUUUCCUUUAAUCUUCGGAGGCUGAGUUUGCCCAACUCAGGUUUAACCACCAAGGACUCUGAGAGCUGGCAGGUCUGAGUAACCCUGGUAACAAUUCUCUUCACCUUAUCAAAACCUGAGCUAAAACCAAUGCAUCAGCUGAUGAUGACAGCAGAGAGUGGCAGGGCUGAGGACCCAAAGUCAUUUCCCAGGCUGGCGGAGAAUAAACUGCCAGGGAGAAGAAUGAGAAGACAGGAGACAAACUGUUUGGAAAGCUAAAUCUUCCCUCUUAAUGAAUAAAGGUUUUUGCCUUGUCUU